UGUAGCACCACAACAGAGAGAGGAGAGAAUAAAGAUUAGGAAGAAGAAAAUACUUUAUAUUACAAGAAAACAGAAAAUAAUCACAACCAUAGAACAAGUGAAACUUCCACCAGCUGGUAACAACUUAAAAUGAAGAAAAUGGUCAGGGGAUUCAGAACACGUUUAUCUACGUGUAGCUGCACGGAUUCUGCCAUAACAAGAAUUAUGAAGGAGAAUAUCCAGGAGGCUUAUCACUGUGUAGGGUGUGUGCUGGAACGCGGAGAACGAUAAGGAAGUGUGCAAUCAUUAACGUUCUGCACUUAAGGGCAGGUCUGUAGGACGAUAAAUAUACAAAAAGCACAAUAAGGAAUCAGAAUCUACAAGCACUGGAGCUGAGGAGAAGAUCCAGUCGUCCUGAGUGAAAUGCAACAGAGGUGACAAUGGGGUUCACGGCAUUGCACAUUCACUGUCUUCUAACUGCAUUCACUCUCACGACACAAGAGUUGGCGAAAUUAAGUGUGAGUCCCAAGAUCAGUGCAGAGUGUGGUCAACAGGUAACCCUAAACUGUGACGUGUCCUCAUCUAGAAAUGGACUAUCAGUCAUACAUAUGGGGUGGACCCACAACAAAACAACCUUAUGUUCUGUGGACAGUGAAGGAACCAUCACCACACACCACAGACAUACUACAGAUACAAGUGACUUCCAUUGUGAGUAUGAACACGGACAAUUGUCCCUCAUCUUUCAAAAAGUGCAGCCCCUGGAGAGUGGAAAGCGCUACACCUGCAAACUACACUCCAACCAGGGAGCUCCAUAUGGACAUACAAGAGUGGAGUUAAAAGAGUGUUGUGGGAGUUCUAAGGGUGUUUUGACAAGUGAUGGUCCCGUCUGCACCUUCAACCAUGUCCACCCAGACGGAGAUGUGCACUGGUUUCAUGGCUCCCACAAUCUCUCAGAUGGGUCUUACACUACUACUACUAAAAGUGUGGAUGAAAAGGGUUGGCUGACUAUCCAUAGUUCCCUGAAGCGGAAAAGUUCAGAUGUGCCAUACAGCUGUUCCUUAAAGAGCACCACCUCUGGUAGAUACAUUGCGAGCACUUUGAUUCAGAACCAUGAAUUCCUGGUGAGGGGAGCCGGAAAACAAGAAGCUACAGGCCUGGAGAGGAAUGGAGUUGGAUCACAGAGACCUAUGAAGACAAUUUUGUGUAUUUCAAUCUUACUUGCUGUCACAUUAACAUAAUGGAUUUGCCAAAGUAAAUCCUUCAUCAUGGCGUGUGAUAAAUCAUCAGGGUGAAGCGGUGAUUAACAUUAAUUAGGAAAAAUCCGGUACUGAGAUUCAUGUAUUUUUUUAUAAAUCCAGGACAACAGCACUUCCAGUUAAGUGAGUCAUCUUGCAUGGUCCAAAGGUUUUUUAUUCUGCCUUUUAGCAUUGGCAAGUGAACAAGGAAAUGACAGACUGUUGAGAGGCUGAUAAUCAUUGCACUGCAUAAAAUGCCUUUGUUGUUUUGUGACUGCUGUGUGAAUGUACUCUUUCUGCAAGAACGCCAUGAAAACAAAAUCUGUCCACCUUGAACAGAAUGAAAAGACCUCAAAAGAUGGGUUCUGCCAUGAAUUCCCCUCAGAGACAGAGAAGCCUUUGUGAGAGAAAUAUCAAAUAGCUGGACACAGGACCUCUCAGUCAGACUGUCUGUUGUUUGUGGAUGGAUGCUGCCCUCUAGUGAACUAGUUGUGAUCAGUACGACAUGCGGCUGCUGUGUAACUAACUGUUUCACGGCCAGUGGACUGUCCUAAUGGAGGGCAAAUGGGUGCAUUAAAAGGGUUGGGUUACCUAAAAAAACAUUUUUCACUUACCUGUAGUGGUAUGUGGUAUGUGGUCAUGCAGACAGCUUUGGUUUCUGAUAAGCCCUGGUACAAUGGGGUGGAAAUAGCAAUUGUUUAAUUGUAGAGACAUGUUCCAAUGAACAAUGUCCACAAUGAGGCCUGGAUUAUCCAGAGUCACUGGACACUGUUUCUGGAAAGAAAUGUUCCUGUUCAAUGCUUUCAGCACAAAUUUCCAUUCUCCUCAGUUUUAUAGGUGUGGUUGCAGAAUCUUGGAGAUGAAUAUCUCAAACCUGGGCAUAUAAGAAUAAGACCAAAAACUAUCUGCGUGGUUACACACCAGAGGUAAAUGAGGAAAUGUGGAUUUUUUGUUGUGCACACACAAAGUCAUAGGUAUGUGCAAAACAGAAUAUUUUGUUGCUUUUCAUUUUAGAUCUGAACAAUAGUCAGCGUCCACAGCAGGUAUAGCUCGAAGAUGGAGAAGAAACCCAGCUCCAAAGCUAAAACUAUACUUUUAUAACGCCUCAGUGGACCCUCUUCAGACAGGACAUUUGAAAGCCGUUUCAAGUCAAAAUGACGCUUUGCUAAUGGUGUCACUAAAUCGGUGCCACGCAUGGGGCAGGUUGAGCUUUUAACAACAUGUUGCUGCGGCUAAGAGCCCACUAGGUAAACGAAUGCAAGGUCACUUUGACUAUUCUAGCCCACAUGGAUGCAUCACACACACACACACAAAUAUUGAGAACUUAUUUGUGUCGUCUUUAAUGUGUUUUGGAAUAAUGGUCUCUCAAAAGCAUCAUUUUGAGAAAUGUUCCUACUGACUAAUGACAAAAUGAGAUAUAUUCUACUUAAUGCCUACCACGUAUUUGGCACUGCAAAAUUGAAGCAAUUUACAUAAAUGGUAUUCAAAAUGGCUGUAUUAUAUUUAAUUAACUUCACAAUCACAGUGUUGUGCUAUAAAGGGAGCUGGUUGAUUAUCUAUUUCAUGAUGACACUGAUGUGCCUGAAUGCUGCUUAAAGGCAUGUUUUUAUUUUUCAUGUUCAUGUUUCAUGUUAUACUACUAAUGUCUCUUUCCUGUUGAAUGCACAACAGAGGAAGUUUAAAUGAAUCACUGUAAAUAGUUUGGGUUGUUAAAAGCAAGAUGUUUCAAUCAUUGAGUUACUGCAAUGUACCGAGUACCUGCAUGUCUUUACAAGUAGGAGAAACCAGUUAAAGGCACCAGAUUUAGGCUCAACAGUGUAAACAUGAGGAGACAACUUCUUUUGUUUUGUUUUUACUUUUGCAGCUAACUUAAUGUUUACAAAAAAAAUCUUAAUAAUGUAAUAACUGCUGUUGGCUGUCAAAAUGGAGCAUUUAUA